rnacentral:tRNA from 1 species
CAGGGGACUCUUAAUCCCAAGGUCCGGGGUUCGAGUCCCCGCCGGUCCACCA